rnacentral:rRNA from 1 species
CUUACACAUGCAGUCGAGCGGAACGAUGGUAGCUUGCUACCAGGCGUCGAGCGGCGGACGGGUGAGUAAUACUUAGGAAUCUACCUAGUAGUGGGGGAUAGCUCGGGGAAACUCGAAUUAAUACCGCAUACGACCUACGGGAGAAAGGGGCAACUUGUUGCUCUCGCUAUUAGAUGAGCCUAAGUCGGAUUAGCUAGAUGGGGGGGUAAAGGCCUACCAUGGCGACGAUCUGUAGCUGGUCUGAGAGGAUGAUCAGCCACACCGGGACUGAAACACGGCCCGGACUCCUACGGGAGGCAGCAGUGGGGAAUAUUGGACAAUGGGGGAAACCCUGAUCCAGCCAUGCCGCGUGUGUGAAGAAGGCCUUUUGGUUGUAGAGCACUUUAAGCAGUGAAGAAGACUCCUCGGUUAAUACCCGUGGACGAUGACAUUAGCUGCAGAAUAAGCACCGGCUAACUCUGUGCCAGCAGCCGCGGUAAUACAGGGGGUGCAAGCGUUAAUCGGAAUUACUGGGCGUAAAGCGAGCGUAGGUGGCUUGAUAAGUCAGAUGUGAAAUCCCCGGGCUUAACCUGGGAACUGCAUCUGAAACUGUUAGGCUAGAGUAGGUGAGAGGAAGGUAGAAUUCCAGGUGCAGCGGUGAAAUGCGUAGAGAUCUGGAGGAAUACCGAUGGCGAAGGCAGCCUUCUGGCAUCAUACUGACACUGAGGCUCGAAAGCGUGGGUAGCAAACAGGAUUAGAUACCCUGGUAGUCCACGCCGUAAACGAUGUCUACUAGCCGUUGGGUCCCUUGAGGACUUAGUGACGCAGCUAACGCAAUAAGUAGACCGCCUGGGGAGUACGGCCGCAAGGUUAAAACUCAAAUGGAUUGACGGGGGCCCGCACAAGCGGUGGAGCAUGUGGUUUAAUUCGAUGCAACGCGAAGAACCUUACUGGUCUUGACAUAUCUAGAAUCCUGCAGAGAUGCGGGAGUGCCUUCGGGAAUUAGAAUACAGGUGCUGCAUGGCCGUCGUCAGCUCGUGUCGUGAGAUGUUGGGUUAAGUCCCGCAACGAGCGCAACCCUUGUCCUUAGUUACCAGCGGGUUAAGCCGGGAACUUUAAGGAUGCUGCCAGUGACAAACUGGAGGAAGGCGGGGACGACGUCAAGUCAUCAUGGCCCUUACGACCAGGGCUACACACGUGCUACAAUGGUAGGUACAGAGGGCAGCUACACAGCGAUGUGAUGCGAAUCUCAAAAAGCCUAUUGUAGUCCAGAUUGGAGUUUGCAACUUGACUCCAUGAAGUAGGAAUCGCUAGUAAUCGCGGAUCAGAA